rnacentral:tRNA from 2 species
GGGGAUAUGGCUCAGUUGGUAGAGCGAUGCGUUCGCAACGCAUAGGUCAGCGGUUCGAUCCCGCUUAUCUCCACCA